rnacentral:lncRNA from 1 species
AUGGAUUCAGGAAGCAGAAGACACUCAUCCAUUGCAAUCACCACAAAGGCCAACUCGUACCAGCGGCAGCCAUGCAUCCUGGCCAUAUUGGUGUUCACGGAUAUGACGGCCUCAUGAAAUGGCAUUUCCUGGUGCCUCCUAGUCCAACGACGACCAUGCAUAGCAACCUGGCCGAUUGCUGCAUGAUUGGAUUGGCCUCUUGCUUCUAUGAAUUUUCAUCUCUAGGUCAC